ensembl:lncRNA
AGAGCAAAGAGGUGUACAAGAGACAGGUGCUGUCGAUCACGUCCAUCGCCAUGGCGAUCAGCCUGCUGGGAAGCCUGUGCAUGGCCCUCUACUGCGGCAACAAGAGGCGCAGGGAGAAGCUGCAGGCCCACCUGAAGGAGAGUCGCAGUUUGAAAAACUACACCGCUAAUUCCCAGAAUGCCCUGGAAGCCAAGAUGAGGGUCCCUAAUGCCAACCUGCAAAUGCAUGAGUUCUGCAAACGCUCGUCCCAAUCCCGCCAGGGGGGGCCUGUGCGGGUCCAGCUUUGCACACUGCAACAUCUCCACCGCGCCCUCCAGCGGCUCCCGGGGGCCGGCGAAGCAUCCGAGGUACACACACACACACACACACACACACGCAGGCUCCCCCCAGCGACCGCUGCAGGAAACGGCACGACGCAAACAGCUCCCACCUCACUGUCCUCUCCUGUAAUCAGCAGGGACGCAGCCGAGAGAGAAAUUGAAUCAUCCGCAUUACAGUGCAGCCCAAGUUAA